AUGGCCGCGACAACGGCGUCAGCUUCGACGAGUUUCAUCACCUCCACUGCUAUCUCAGGCAGUAGCCAAUUGAUGGAUUUGACUGCUGAUCCCUUUGUGUUGGCUGAUGGUGGUGAGAUGGAAAUAAGGAUCAACCAUGGUGGGAUGGGAAUCUUUAAGAGGAAGAAUCAAGCGACACGAGCACCUAAUCCACAUUUAUACAUGACCUGCAGCUUAUUCACAUGGAUCUUAAGCCAGAGAACAUUCUCCUUGUUUCACCUGAUACAAUCAGGGUUCAUGAUUAUAAGGUUUGCUGACUUGAUUCAAGCUAUCCUGGUGGAGUGA
rnacentral:rRNA from 1 species